AGGACAUAUACAAAGGGCUCAGGAAAUACUGGCCAUGAUUAUAAGCGAGAAUUCAAAGAGUGCCAUGGAAACACAGAAGAGAGAGGUCCGAAGCGAGCCGCCUCCUCGGAGGCAGUGUCCUAAGGGAUAAGGCUACUUAACACGGGUUCCAAAUCGUGAUGAAAUGGACAUCGAAUGUCAAUUGAAGGACUCUGAAUUUACCCUUUAGCCGAAGUGUCUUUGCAUAUGUAAUUAAGCUAAGAAGGAGAUGAGAUCAUCUUGGAUUACCCAGCUGUGUACUAAGUCCAGUGACAAAUGUCCUUAUAAGAGACAGUAAAAGAAAAGAUACGCCAAGGAAAAGGCAAUGUGAAGAUGGAGGCAGAGACUGGAAUGUUGUGCCCACAAGCCAAGGAAGCUGGCAACUAUCAGAAGCUGGAAGAGGCAAAGAACGGAUUCUCCCCUACAUUCCAUUUAGGACACUUGGCCCUGCUAACACUUUGAUUUUGGACUUCUGGCCUCCAGACUAAGAGAAUAAAUUUCCAUGUUUUAAGACACUAAA